rnacentral:rRNA from 1 species
CAAUGGGGGAACCCUGAUGCAGCGACGCCGCGCUGGAGGAAGAAGGUCUUCNGAUUGUAAACUCCUGUUGUUGAGGAAGAUAAUGACGGUACUCAACAAGGAAGUGACGGCUAACUACGUGCCAGCAGCCGCGGUAAAACGUAGGUCACAAGCGUUGUCCGGAAUUACUGGGUGUAAAGGGAGCGCAGGCGGGAGAACAAGUUGGAAGUGAAAUCCAUGGGCUCAACCCAUGAACUGCUUUCAAAACUGUUUUUCUUGAGUAGUGCAGAGGUAGGCGGAAUUCCCGGUGUAGCGGUGGAAUGCGUAGAUAUCGGGAGGAACACCAGUGGCGAAGGCGGCCUACUGGGCACCAACUGACGCUGAGGCUCGAAAGUGUGGGUAGCAAACAGGAUUAGAACCCUGGUAGUCCAAGGGCGAAUUC